UAAUACUGUAUCGACAGGGUUACAGCAUAUGUAUCAGAUAGAUACCUACCUUUCCAGUGGAGAAAUUGAUAAUAAUAGGUACCCGACAGGCCAACCACCAGCAUCUCCGGACAUUGCAAUUAAUUGUAAGCCUAGCCAGGCAGCUAGACUACAUACUACAACACAGCCACUACUAUUUUGCUGUUUCACUGUCUACGACCCCAAGGCGAAAUGUCAUUGGCCAAUGGCUCUCAAGGAACAAGAGCAAAUAAAUUUCAAAAAUUCCAUCGGGUUCCCAAGA